UCCUAACUGGGCUUGGAUUGCAAGUGUUGUUUUGCACUUUCUCCUUUAUGUUUCUUUUUUUUUUCUUCUUUUUUUUUUUUUUUCCUUGUGUGCUCACAGUAAUGUCCGUAGCCAGACAUAUGCUCAUGGCCUGGAAUGAAGUCGAUUGCAAUUACAUCCUAAGGGAGUCACUCAACGGGGGUUUUGUGAAGGCAGGACGCAGGCUUUGGUGGAGCCUGUCGCUGCUGCACAUGUGUUGUUAGACCUCCAAGUGCACUCACCCUGCCUUCAGCUUUGUGGGAACGAGGAGCAGAAGGCUCAGAAAUACAGCCAGUCUGGUGCACAUCUGGAGGCACUAAUGUGAGGCAAAGGAUACACCUCCUGUGCUCAAACGAGGUGUUUUCUUGCAUUAGUGAUUUCAGCGCAUCAGCACCAAAAUGCUGCUUUUCAAACGCACCCGAGCUGCAUCCCCCGUGCUCCGUGUGGGUUCGAACCUUCUGCAAGCGUAAAGGUGCUGGGAGCUGGGUUGCAGGGUCAGGCCUCUCUCGGCAGUACUUUUGCCUGACUUCCUUUAUCUCCAAAAGCAGCAAGAAGCACAUGCUGCGGCAACAUAAUCAUUUAAUCCAGGCUGGUGAAACCUGUUCUCCAGAUGAACAACUGACAUAUCAUUUGCUCCGUAGCUCUGCAUAUGAAUGCAAUGUUUGUUGGGGCGGCUGGAUAUUGGUGCCAGCUUUCCACUCUUAUUUCCAGCAAAGCCAAACAGCAGCCUGACUGUGAAUCUGCUGCCAGCUCCUUCCUCUGCUCCCUGCAACACGCUCGCCGCAGCCACGUUAGUCCUGGGGCUCUCCCUCCUGGGCUGCUCGCCUGUUGUGGAUGCGGUAGGUGCGCAGAUCCCUGCCAGGCGAAAGCAGUCCUCGGAGGAGCACGGCGGGCUUGUGGCACUUGGGAUAGGAACGUGUUUGCCAGGGGAGGCAGGUGAUACCUGAAAGGGUGCAGCCAAAACUAACAAAGAUUUUGUAAUGCGAGUAGCCUGGGCUGCUCGGUAACAGCUGACAGUCCCACAGCCCAGCCGAUGGCUCGGUGGCCGCACAGAACCAGGGAGAAGACUCUGGUGUGCUACUGGUGGCAGCCACUGCUCUGACACACAGCAUUAAAAAAUUCCCAGAUGAUGUCAGAUUAACAAGCUUGGACAUGUGGAGUAACCUGGUCACCUACCAACUGGCCGUGGGUGGGAGAACAGGCACCCUUCUCCCACCCCCCAUGGC